GGCAGUAGCCGUCACCAUAAAUCUUAUAUUCUAAUUAUUUAUUUUUUUCAUAGAAAAUAUAUAGGACAUAAUGUUAUACUCAUUAACAACACAAUUAGUCAUCGUCGCUAAUAAUUGCCCAAAAAUUCUUCCUCCCACUUCCCGAUCGAUCACUUUUCACCGCAUCCCCCCUUCUUCCCCUGUCGUGCUGAUUCCCCCGCCGUGCCAUCAGAACCCCCA
rnacentral:lncRNA from 1 species